rnacentral:rRNA from 1 species
UAAGGAAUAUUGCUCAAUGGGAGAAAUCCUGAAGCAGCAACGCCGCGUGGAGGAUGAAGGGUCUAUGACUUGUAAACUCCUGUAAAGAAGGAAAAAAUUCCCAUUUGAUGGGAGAUGAUGGUACUUCUGGAGUAAGCCCCGGCUAACUACGUGCCAGCAGCCGCGGUAAUACGUAGGGGGCAAGCGUUGUCCGGAUUUACUGGGUGUAAAGGGUGCUCAGGCGGAUUUGUAAGUCAGAGGUGAAAUCUUACAGCUUAACUGUGAAACUGCCUUUGAUACUGCAAGCCUAGAGUAUGGAAGAGAGUGAUGGAAUAUCUGGUGUAGCAGUGAAAUGCGUAGAUAGCAGAUAGAACACCAAUGGCGAAGGCAGUCACUUGGUCCAUUACUGACGCUAAAGCACGAAAGCGUGGGUAGCAAACA